rnacentral:rRNA from 1 species
UACAAGUACCGUGAGGGAAAGUUGCAAAGCACUUUGAAGAGAGAGUUAAAGAGGACGUGAAACCGGUAAGGUGGAAACGGAUAGAGUCGGCGUAUCAUUCAAKUAUUCAKUUACAUUAUUUUUAUGUUGUGACCUCUGAGCUCCAGAUUGGGACAGAGGGAAUCAGCAUAAUUUUUUGUGGUGCAUUUACUUGAUUGGUGCUUGGGGAUGUUUGAGGCAGAUUUGUUUCCGUCGUUUUGAGGCCAGCUUGCUGGUACCCAAACGGUGUUAGCAUUUUUUGUCUUGGGCAUUUGAGUAUGGCUCACGUGCAUUUAUUGGWCAGAUCUGAGUGUAAGUUACGGUCGCAUGCGACACGUGCUUUUCAAUUAGUUCGGUCCAGUUAAUGCUCUCGUACUCGUUCCCCAUGUAAAAGCCGGUCAUCUAUCCGACCCGUCUUGAAACACGGACCAAGGAGUUUAUCGUGUGCGCAAGUUUUUGGGUGUUAAAAACUUAAAAGCGAAAUGAAAGUAAAUGACUCUUUAGAGUCUGAUGUGCGAUCUUGUAAAAAAGUGYAGCAUGGCCCCAUUCUAACUGUUUACAGUAGGGUGGCGGAAGAGCGUACGCGGUGAGACCCGAAAGAUGGUGAACUAUUCCUGAGCAGGACGAAGCCAGAGGAAACUCUGGUGGAAGUCCGAAGCGGUUCUGACGUGCAAAUCGAUCGUCUGACUUGGGUAUAGGGGCGAAAGACUAAUCGAACCAUCUAGUAGCUGGUUCCUUCCGAGGA